rnacentral:RNase_P_RNA from 1 species
CGAGCCGGGCGGGCGGCCGCGUGGGGAUCGCAUGAUCCUCCCGAGGAACGUCCGGGCUCCACAGGGCAGGGUGGUGGGUAACGCCCACCCGGGGUGACCCGCGGGACAGUGCCACAGAAAGCAGACCGCCGGGGGCCUCGGCCCUCGGUAAGGGUGAAACGGUGGUGUAAGAGACCACCAGCGCCCGGGGUGACCCGGGCGGCUCGGUAAACCCCACCCGGAGCAAGGUCAAGAGGGGCCGUCGCAAGACGGCCCUGCGCGGACGUUCGAGGGCUGCCCGCCCGAGUCCGCGGGUAGACCGCACGAGGCCGGCGGCAACGCCGGUCCUAGAUGGAUGGCCGUCACCCCGGCGACCGCGAGGUCCCGGGGCACAGAACCCGGCGUACAGCCCGGCUCGUCCU